rnacentral:rRNA from 1 species
AUUGAACGCUGGCGGCAGGCCUAACACAUGCAAGUCGAGCGAGCGGCGGACGGGUGUGUAAUGUAUGGGGACUGCCCGAUAGAGGGGGAUAACUACUGGAAACGGUAGCUAAUACCGCAUACUAUCGGAUAACCCAUAUGGGAUUAGCUAGUAGGUGAGGUAAUGGAUCACCUAGGCGACGAUCCCUAGCUGUUCUGAGAGGAUGAUCAGCCACACUGGGACUGGGACACGGCCCAUACUCCUACGGAGGCAGCAAUGGGGAAUAUUGCACAAUGGGCGCAAGCCUGAUGCAGCCAUGCCGCGUGUAUGAGGAAGGCCCUAGGGUUGUAAAGUACUUUCAGUCGGGAGGCGUUGCCGACAGAAGAAGCACCGGCUAACUCCGUGCCAGCAGCCGCGGUAAUUC